AAACUUCGCAAUGUGCGCAAGCACGACGAGGGAAUCCUAAGUGCCUAUGCUUUGCAUAGGCUGUUCUCCCGUCUAAAAAACAGGGGGAGUAAGGGCUGGGUAAGACGGGUGCCAGCCGCCGCGGUAACACCGGCAGCUCAAGUGGUAGCCAUUUUUAUUGGGCCUAAAGCGUUCGUAGCCGGUUUGAUAAGUCUCUGGUGAAAUCCCAUAGCUUAACUGUGGGAAUUGCUGGAGAUACUAUCAGGCUUGAGGUCGGGAGAGGUUAGGGGUACUCCCAGGGUAGGGGUAAAA
rnacentral:rRNA from 1 species